rnacentral:rRNA from 1 species
GACGAACGCUGGCGGCGUGCUUAACACAUGCAAGUCGAACGGAAAGGCCCUGCUCUUGUGGGGUGCUCGAGUGGCGAACGGGUGAGUAACACGUGAGUAACCUGCCCUUGAAUUUGGGAUAACUUCAGGAAACUGCGGCUAAUACCGGAUAGGAGCUCUUGCUGCACGGUGGGGGUUGGAAAGUUUCGGCGGUUGGGGAUGGACUCGCGGCUUAUCAGCUUGUUGGUGGGGUAGUGGCUUACCAAGGCUUUGACGGGUAGCCGGCCUGAGAGGGUGACCGGCCACAUUGGGACUGAGAUACGGCCCAGACUCCUACGGGAGGCAGCAGUGGGGAAUAUUGCACAAUGGGCGGAAGCCUGAUGCAGCAACGCCGCGUGCGGGAUGACGGCCUUCGGGUUGUAAACCGCUUUCGCCUGUGACGAAGCGUGAGUGACGGUAAUGGGUAAAGAAGCACCGGCUAACUACGUG